rnacentral:rRNA from 1 species
GAUGAACGCUGGCGGCGUGCCUAAUACAUGCAAGUCGAACGAAACUUCUUUAUCACCGAGUGCUUGCACUCACCGAUAAAGAGUUGAGUGGCGAACGGGUGAGUAACACGUGGGCAACCUGCCCAAAAGAGGGGGAUAACACUUGGAAACAGGUGCUAAUACCGCAUAACCAUAGUUACCGCAUGGUAACUAUGUAAAAGGUGGCUAUACUACCGCUUUUGGAUGGGCCCGCGGCGCAUUAGCUAGUUGGUAGGGUAAAGGCUUACCAAGGCAAUGAUGCGUAGCCGAAUUGAGAGGUUGAUCGGCCACAUUGGGACUGAGACACGGCCCAAACUCCUACGGGAGGCAGCAGUAGGGAAUCUUCCACAAUGGGCGAAAGCCUGAUGGAGCAACGCCGCGUGGGUGAAGAAGGUCUUCGGAUCGUAAAACCCUGUUGUUAGAGAAGAAAGUGCGUGAGAGUAACUGUUCACGUUUCGACGGUAUCUAACCAGAAAGCCACGGCUAACUACGUGC